AUGCAGUCGACGAUGAACCGGGUGCUUGCACCUGGGGAUUAGUGGCGAACGGGUGAGUAACACGUGAGUAACCUGCCCUGGACUCUGGGAUAACCCCGAGAAAUCGGAGCUAAUACCGGAUAGGACCUUUCCUCGCAUGAGGUUUGGUGGAAAGUUUUUCGGUCUGGGAUGGACUCGCGGCCUAUCAGCUUGUUGGUGAGGUAAUGGCUCACCAAGGCGUCGACGGGUAGCCGGCCUGAGAGGGUGACCGGCCACACUGGGACUGAGACACGGCCCAGACUCCUACGGGAGGCAGCAGUGGGGAAUAUUGCACAAUGGGCGCAAGCCUGAUGCAGCAACGCCGCGUGCGGGAUGACGGCCUUCGGGUUGUAAACCGCUUUUAGUAGGGAAGAAGGGCUUCGGCUUGACGGUACCUGCAGAAAAAGGACCGGCUAACUACGUGCCAGCAGCCGCGGUAAUACGUAGGGUCCGAGCGUUGUCCGGAAUUAUUGGGCGUAAAGAGCUCGUAGGCGGUUUGUCGCGUCUGCUGUGAAAACUAGAGGCUCAACCUCUAGCCUGCAGUGGGUACGGGCAGACUUGAGUGGUGUAGGGGAGACUGGAAUUCCUGGUGUAGCGGUGGAAUGCGCAGAUAUCAGGAGGAACACCGAUGGCGAAGGCAGGUCUCUGGGCACUUACUGACGCUGAGGAGCGAAAGCGUGGGGAGCGAACAGGAUUAGAUACCCUGGUAGUCCACGCCGUAAACGUUGGGCGCUAGAUGUGGGGACCUUUCCACGGUUUCCGUGUCGUAGCUAACGCAUUAAGCGCCCCGCCUGGGGAGUACGGGCCGCAAGGCUAAAACUCAAAGGAAUUGACGGGGGGCC
rnacentral:rRNA from 1 species